rnacentral:rRNA from 1 species
CCUACGGGUGGCUGCAGUGGGGAAUAUUGGACAAUGGGGGGAACCCUGAUCCAGCCAUGCCGCGUGUGUGAAGAAGGCCCUCGGGUUGUAAAGCACUUUCAGUGAGGAAGAACGCCUGGUGGUUAAUACCCAUCAGGAAAGACAUCACUCACAGAAGAAGCACCGGCUAACUCCGUGCCAGCAGCCGCGGUAAUACGGAGGUUGCGAGCGUUAAUCGGAAUUACUGGGCGUAAAGCGCGCGUAGGUGGCUUGAUAAGCCGGUUGUGAAAGCCCCGGGCUCAACCUGGGAACGGCAUCCGGAACUGUCAAGCUAGAGUGCAGGAGAGGAAGGUAGAAUUCCCGGUGUAGCGGUGAAAUGCGUAGAGAUCGGGAGGAAUACCAGUGGCGAAGGCGGCCUUCUGGACUGACACUGACACUGAGGUGCGAAAGCGUGGGUAGCAAACAGGAUUAGAUACCCUGGUAGUC